UACGGAGGGUGCGAGCGUUACUCGGAAUUACUGGGCGUAAAGGGCGCGUAGGCGGCCGCGCAAGUCUGGUGUGAAAGCCCAGGGCUUAACCCUGGAAGGGCACUGGAAACUGUGCGGCUUGAGUGCCGGAGAGGAGGGGGGAAUUCCCGGUGUAGCGGUGAAAUGCGUAGAUAUCGGGAGGAAUACCGGUGGCGAAGGCGCCCCUCUGGACUGUAACUGACACUGAGGCUCGAAAGCGUGGGUAGCAAACAGG
rnacentral:rRNA from 1 species